rnacentral:rRNA from 1 species
GUGGAGGGGUUCCAUUGUAAUGCUUCCGUCGUUUGCGUGUGCUCUGUUCGUGCGGAAGAGCAGAGGGAACAUGGUGGCGAGGAAAGGAAGCAGAUCUUCCUUCUUUCUCUCAUCGGACGGAGACUCGGGGUGCGUGGGAGAAGAAGGGAGAGGUUUUUUAAUCAAACAGGGCCGCUACGCGACGCGACGACGGUACAUAAGGAAAAGUGAGAAGGGGAAGCUCGUCUAGCUGAUUAUUCCGCCUCACCGGCCUCCACCACCUGGCCACCUCCGCUCCAUACACACACCGUACCGCAUAAUCCGCCGCCACAUCGUGCCAAAGGAAGGCGAUCUAGGCCGCUGGAUGCUCUACCGUCGCCACCAUCCUACGACCGCCGUCUCUACGCCUAGUUGUAGAUGGAGCUGCGGCCGUUCAGUCGCCCGCCGCUGGCGGGGAGGCACGAGGAGGGCGGGCAGCGGGUACCCGGAGGAGGAGUUGAGCAAGGACAGAGGCAGUCCGACCAGCGAAGGGAGGAGCUAGAUAAUACACUUGGAGCAACUCUAAAAAGAAGAAAAGUUUUAACAGGCAGCCCGUCCAAACGUAUUUAACACUCUAAGAGAAGAAACAGGUAGUAAGAUAAACUAUUAUAUAUGAACGUCAAGCUGAACAAUACCUACAGAAGAACGACACCGUGAACAGGCUUACUGAAGCAACUUAGUCCUGGUAGAGGUCUAUAACCUUGUGACGAUGGUUCUAGAUAAGAAAAGACAAGACACAUUACAACCAGACCGGUAAUUAACAUCGUAGGUAAGAAGAACUCCAUAUACUUUAUCCAGUAUGAACGAGUUCUUAGAAGUCAGAUCAACCAAGUGAAGUCCAUAUGGACCUUAUCUAACAAGUAAUUUUACACAGAGGGGAGACUAAAACCUACCGGAGAGACCCAGAACAGGACGACUAAGAGACCUCAACAGUUUCAAGUCAACACACCUGUAACUCCACCUAAAAUAAUACUACGGAAACUGUGUAACUUGAGCCAUCGUUUUGUAGAGUGAGUCAUUGAUUUAAUCUCAAGCUAGAAAAUGCAAACACAACAGAAAAACGUAAAAACAAAGCUAGGCUGUAGUCUAGACUCAAUAACGAAAGCCUUUAACUCGCGAACCAAUGGGAAAACUAGGGGUUGAGGUUCGGAUAGUUGAACUUGGACGUCGGUUUCGAUUACUUAUGUUUACGUUUAGUUUACGCUUCUUUAGUUAGUCGACUUAAAGAACGACAACAUCUUUUCACUAUACUUAUUCCCAAAGUUCAACCUGAAGGAGUUCAAGUUUUUUGUAUAUGUCUUAAAACACAGAAAAUAACUCUCCUUAUUUCGAGUGUUACGUUUCUACUUAAAACAGGGCUACCUUCUAGAGGAUAACCGGAACACGUCAAGUACACCACUUGAUCGGUUCUGCUAACCAACACAUCCAUAGUGACAAAUUUACAAGUAGUUCAAAACGUAGGAAGAGAUCUACGAUACAUUAUGAUCCAGAGAGAAAAAUAGGUGGGACACUCUCGUACGUCGGUACGUGGUCUAAUAAGAAAACCGAUGUGGGGAUCGUAUCUCAUUCCGAGAAUCGAUUAAUAGAUCUCGUUCAAAGACAUAAUAAUGAAGACAUACAAGAGAUUAGUGUUAGAUGGAGAAACAUAUAUAUAUAUAUUGAGGCUCAGGUACGAUUUAAGUAUCGUUUAAUUUAGGAUUGUUAUACGCAGACUAUUAAAAAGAAAUAAUCCCUCUUUAUCGAGGAUUUACUAUUCGAACCUGAAAGAGUCUGUACAUCCAAAUAGAUCUACGGGAAAACUACGGAUCGGCAAACACUGCCCUAACCGUACACCGCCACGGGUUUUCACACACUAUCCUCCAAUGUAGCACGUUUUAAUACAUAGAAUCGAUGAACACUCUUAGGUUGUAACUUUAUGUAAGACGACUUUUGAUUAAGUACUCCAAGCUAUCACUAAAGACCGUAGGAUAAUAUCUCUUCAGUCAACUAUCUUGAUCUAUCAUGACGAAUGUCCUACUAUGGACUUACUUUAAACUCACGAAACUAGAUGAUUAAAAGAAUACAAGGUUUAAAAGAAAAGACAAGAAUCUGAUGUAGACAUCUAGGGAUACAAAAGUUCUAGUGAAGGCAAAAGUUGGGUAGAGUCAUACAACUUGUCUACCAACGUAGUUCUCAUCCUAAAUGUUAUUCUAAACUCCAUUUGGACCCGUACCGGUGCUAGCUUAAAGAGUGUUUACCCCGUGACUAAUCUCUUUACUACACAAUAGGAGAAGACUCUUUUAUAUCCACGGUACAAUACUGGGACGGACUUCAUUAGUUAGAAUCACCGUUACGUAGGGGUUAUUCACCACCAUUUUCCAUUCAUUUUUACUAUCAAACCUCUUUAGACCUCUAUAAUAACAAUUUGUACUCUAUAUAGUGGUUCCGAUCCACGCGGGUUGGUUGGAGGACGGCACUCCUAGUUCCUCAUCAAUCCUCUAUAUGAAACAUGAAAUUGAAACAUAGAAGAGAAGGAUAGAAGAGGUACAUUUAGAGGGGGUGCCAACUAGAGGUUGUCGGUGUGGAACAUGGACUUCAAUAAUAGUUAUGUAUUUAUACGCCCGAGGGUACAUACCCCCAAACUCUGCGAAGUAUGUUGAAACUAUACCAUAUGUCUCGGAUGGAGAAGGGGAUGCAGAUCGGAGGUAGGAAGGACGGCGUUGGGAGGAUUCGGUAGUAGAAGGGAUGGCGUGGUGGUACAGGAGGAGGUCGGUUUAACAGAGGGGGCCGGAGUUGAUGUGUUGGAGUCUUGGGGAAUGGUCUUGGUUGAUACAAGAGACCGUUUGGGUUCGGGCGAGGGUCUAGUACCCCCGCCCCGAUAUACCCAUAUAGCUAGUUUGUUGGGGGCUCGGAAGGUUUUGGUAUCAGUGUUUUUGGAGGCUACCCUUUCUAGUAUAGCGAGGGUUAGGACGGAUGUUGGGAACCGAUCAGGUUCUAGUUGUUUAUCACCGGAUUGAGACUUUGGAGAGGUUUCUUCACGACUAAGUCCAACGGAGGGAUCUGUGUCGUGUGCGGUAUACCAGACGAGAGCGUUUGUACAAGCGACGUAUUAGAUCCAGAGCGUAGUUGUUAACGGCGGAACGGCGAUGGAAGAAACCGGUGUACGCUAGAGAGAGUCUACUCAAUCGUCGGCGACCGUUUGGGUAUCCGCUCCUACUCGAGCAGAGAGUGUAGUAUCGGCCCGAACUAUACCUGAUAGUCGGGUAGUAGAAACGGGAGCUGCUGGUUUGACUGUGUCAAAGACAACUGCUAGAGAAGCGCUACCACAGGUUGAAACUAGUCGCGCACCUCUACAAGGUGCCGUGGCACCGGCCACGAAAGUUUAGGAGGCGAUUGCACCGGAGAGCCCCAGCACCGCCACCACCAGCGAUAAGAGGGUUCUUGCCGCCGCCGUCGCCUGGAGCGUUACCACCUUUAGUUCCUCCACCGCCGCCGAUAGUGUUGCCGCCACCACCAGCGCUGGUGAUGUUGUUGUCGCCGCCACCACCGCCGCCAGUGAUGGUUUUGAGAUCUCCACCACCGCCACCGAUGGUCUUGAGGCCGCCGUUGUUGUUAAGGUCCGUCGCGGGGAAGAUGUUGUUGUUGUCUCCCGCAGGUCAAAAAGUCCCCAUACUACCGAUACUUUUAUUUACAGUCUAUACGUUUUUUUUGGUAUAACGGUUCCUGACACUGAUCGCGAUGCGCCUUCUGUUGAGAGCGUUCUUCCAACGUCGUCGGUGGUACCUGUUGAGGAUACCCCAGCUAUGGUUGACCAUACGACUGAGACCGCGGUGGUUGGUGUAGUGGGCACUUGAGCCUUUCCACUGCUACGUGCUCUUUAUACCACCGUUACUGGUUUAAGUAUUACGUUUACCACUUCCAUACUUGUAUCUAGUACAACCAGUAAGUUAAUAGUUUUGGGGCGUAGCACUAUAAGUAGAAUCUUUAUAGAACGUACAAGGUCUUUGGAGUUUUUUAGAAGAAAGACAGGUAGCAUAACGAGAACUAUUAGUACACAAAGACCUUAAAGUAGGAAUAAAGAAAAAAUAGUUCCUAGUCCAGUGCUCCGUUCAAGAGAUGGCUCCAUCUACACACGUACCCGAUAUAGACAACUAAGGGGUCAAAGUUUCUAAGUUAUUUGUUCAAACGUCACAGUAGUUUGAGAGAGGCCUGGCCACCGUAGGCGCAAAUCCUGUAGGCAGAAAAAAGAUAACAACUUGUUCACGAAUCUUUAUUGGCCGAGGGUACACAACCACUCGCAUCAAGACUUUGAUAAACACUAAGAACAGUUUUUCGUUUCAGAGUAGUUAACGGUAUAGGUCAAAGGUGAUCACAAAGAUGGUUUCGAAACGUUGAAUAAAAGAGACUACAUACCCCAGGCCGGGGGAGAAGACAACCGUCUGUGUGGAUGAUACAAUCGAAGUAACUACUAAUAUCAUUUAAGUGAACCUAAAUGGAGGAAUUCUUUGCGAGACUACAAAAAGGUUCAAAAAGUCUUAAAGUUUCGUGAACAACUUGCAGUUAAACUAUCGGUCUAAGAACGGUAGGUCAGUCUGACCCCGCCACUCAUACUCUUUAAUCUGAGUAAAAAGGUUUGAGAACCGUAAAGAGUAGUACAAAGUACGGGUGUGCGUGUGGUCGUUUUGCCAAGACGACUUGCAUUCGUAUCCGUAUAACAACUUCAUCCGGAACGGGACGAACGACCGCGGAGAUACGGGGAGUUCAAAACCCUACUCCGCAAAGAGUGGCUACAGGUAGAGUAAUUAUACGAAGGGUCGGCACAAUAGUUGUUACUUUGUGGGUACGUUGCCAAAAAAGUAUGAGCGGGUCUAAUAUUGAGGGAAGCACAAAAACCAACACGAACAACCGGAUUAGAAGUGGGGAUGUUGUGAGCAUUUGAGUACAAGGCAAGGUUCGUUACACAAAAAGAACCAAUAUCACGUGUUGUAUUCCCACAGUUCACGGAGCUACAAAGGUGGCCAGCACAGAUGUAUAGGGCACUAAAGCAGAAACUACUUUGGCACAAAGGAAAACGGGUGGAAGUAGGAUUACGGCCACGUGAAGAAGCGUUCCUUUAGGAAGAAGAAGGAAGUGUGAAUAGACCGUAGGUAGUGCUCCUACUAUUAAACCUACUAGUGAACUGAUUGGGAAGACUGGUACGUAUACUCAGAGCACAAUGUCCUGUGCUACCACUACGUCGUCUUUUUUUAAACGGUCGUUUACCAGUUCUUUAGGGAGGUUUGCCCGGUAUAAAGUACACAAGGGGCUCACCGUCGUAAGGUCGAGAGCUUAGAAGUAACCCUAGCCCCGACGGGCUGGACUGGGCCAGGAGGAGCCCUAGGGGUGGAAUGGUCCUCCCGUCCCCGUCGUUGAGACACGGCCUACGCGGCGUGGUCGGGCGCAGACGGUGCGCUGAUGCCAGCCUGGGUCGCUGGGUGCGCGCGCGCCAUAGCCCACUCCCUCAGGACCUAAUCCCCCAGGAGCCUGUCGGCCUGAUAUAGCAAACCGGCCUGACAACCUGAUACUUCUAUGUUCUAACUUCUGAAGCUAGGUACAGGCCUACCCUGAGAGGAACCGCACCUUCCGUUCGAACCCUUAUGUCUCCCUCAGGACCUAAUCCCCCACAGUAACUUCGGACCAAGUCCCCGAUGACUCCCUCAGGACCUAAUCCCCCACAGGCCUAUCGGCCUGAUAUGGAAGUCGGCCUGAGGACCUGAUACUUCUAUGUUCUAGCUUCUGAAGCAGGGCACAGGCCUUCCCUGAAAGGAACCGCACCUUCCGUUCGAACCGCUAUGCCU